UGCUCCUGUUUUGAACACCUGCUUUGUUUUUUCUUAUCAGUUACAUAUUUAGUUGUGUUUUCACUUCUUGGUUGCAUUAAGUUCAGGAUAAUGUCAGUUAUAGUUUCUAGCGUUUGCUUUUUUUUUGUAAACUUGUCCUCGCCUAGCAUUUGUUGUCUAACCUUCUUUUUCUGGCGAUUUCCUUGGAUGCCUCCCAGUCAUGACAAUGCCACCACCAAGGGAGACCUUCUAAUCACUCAGAGCCAGCUCCUGCUGUAGAAAAUUCUCUGUGACUGAGGUAAAUAGUGGAGACAGUGGGACCAAAGGCCACAGGUUCUAGUUGAGAAUCCCAUGGCCACAUUUCUUUCCUGCCCAGCAACUGGUUCACCUUGGAUGUCUGUAUGCCUUCAUGCCCUGCUGAGGAUGUCACUCUUCUUCUAUGCCCUGCUGAGGACAUUGCUUUGCCUUCAUGCUCUGACUCCUCAGCAUGAAGCCAAACAUUCAUCAUGCUGCUCUCAGUAACCGUCUGCUUUCAUCUCCUCAACUAGUAAUGAGCUGAACGAACUGCAUGCUCUCUUUUAAAGACCUGUUCUCCUCCGCAACCAGGAAGUGAGCAGAAAACUAGAUCAGGUGAUGGGUUUUCUGGGGUUUUUUACAAGUGUCCAGUGUCCACUGUAGUCUCAGAUUCCUGUUCCUGCUCUGCUCCAUCUGACCUUCUGCUGUUGGAGCUCAUCUGAGGUGCUUUUCCAAUCGCAGUUAUUGUAACAAGUGAUUAUUUGAGCUACCGCAGACUUCCUGUCAGCUUUAAGUAGUCUGAUUGCAAGGGGUUUAACGGUCCACCAAAAUUCACCUCAGUUUUUAAGUCGGUUCAAUUUCGGUAGGAGGAAGAAAUGCAAAAACAUAAAAUCAAAAAUGCAAAACAUAAAAUCCGUUGUUUAUUAUUAUUAACAUUUUGAACAACAGUUGACUUUUUUCAACAAUUUUUGCUUGGUUUUAAAUAAGAAAUUAAAUAUAUUUAAAAAAUUAUAGAUCAAUAAAAAAAUAUUAAUUGA